AUUGAACGCUGGCGGCAGGCCUAACACAUGCAAGUCGAGCGGCAGCGGGACCUUCGGGUUGCCGGCGAGCGGCGGACGGGUGAGUAAUGCCUAGGAAUCUGCCUGUUAGUGGGGGAUAACGCGGGGAAACUCGCGCUAAUACCGCAUACGUCCUACGGGAGAAAGCGGGGGCUCUUCGGACCUCGCGCUAACAGAUGAGCCUAGGUCGGACUAGCUAGUUGGUGGGGUAAUGGCCCACCAAGGCGACGAUCCGUAACUGGUCUGAGAGGAUGAUCAGUCACACUGGAACUGAGACACGGUCCAGACUCCUACGGGAGGCAGCAGUGGGGAAUAUUGGACAAUGGGCGAAAGCCUGAUCCAGCCAUGCCGCGUGUGUGAAGAAGGUCUUCGGAUUGUAAAGCACUUUAAGUCGGGAGGAAGGGCUGUAGGCUAAUACCUUGCAGUUUUGACGUUACCGACAGAAUAAGCACCGGCUAACUUCGUGCCAGCAGCCGCGGUAA
rnacentral:rRNA from 1 species